rnacentral:tRNA from 1 species
UGGGAUGUAGCCAAGUGGUAAGGCACAGGACUUUGACUCCUGCAUUUCGCUGGUUCGAGCCCAGCCAUCCCAGCCA